rnacentral:lncRNA from 1 species
UCUGACGCACGAGGAUACAUAUCAUUCCACAUUAACGUGUGCAUAUUAGUAAUGCACAUGAACCUACAUAUCAACAUAAUCUUUGUGGAGUAAAUACCUGCUUGCAGAAGAUGUCUAUUUCAUCAUGAAGAAGGGCAUGCAUCAGAGAAAGAGAAGUUUUCCUUGCAGGACACUUCACUAAAUCAGGAGGUUGUACCGGAAAUGUCACAUCUGGCUGCACAUUACCAAACGUUAGACUUGAUUUCAAUCAGAUGGGCUUAAUCACAAAUAUUGGAAUAAACUUACAUGCUCUUGGUCACGGGCUAAUUGGGAUA